GCACAAUGGGCGCAAGCCUGAUGCAGCCAUGCCGCGUGUGUGAAGAAGGCCUUCGGGUUGUAAAGCACUUUCAGCAGUGAGGAAGGCGGAGUCGUUAAUAGCGGCCUCGUUUGACGUUAGCUGCAGAAGAAGCACCGGCUAACUCCGUGCCAGCAGCCGCGGUAAUACGGAGGGUGCGAGCGUUAAUCGGAAUUACUGGGCGUAAAGCGCAUGCAGGUGGUUUGUUAAGUCAGAUGUGAAAGCCCGGGGCUCAACCUCGGAAUAGCAUUUGAAACUGGCAGACUAGAGUACUGUAGAGGGGGUAGAAUUUCAGGUGUAGCGGUGAAAUGCGUAGAGAUCUGAAGGAAUACCGGUGGCGAAGGUGGCCCCCUGGACAGAUACUGACACUCAGAUGCGAAAGCGUGGGGAGCAAACAGGAUUAGAUACCCUGGUAG
rnacentral:rRNA from 1 species